rnacentral:rRNA from 1 species
UACCCGCAGCACAAGUGGUGGUCAUUAUUAUUGGGCCUAAAGCGUCCGUAGCUGGCGUGUUAGAUGCCUGGGUAAAUCGAUGCGCUCAACGCAUCGAAUUCCGGGUAGACCGGCACGCUCGAGACCGGGAGAGGCGUAGGGUACUCGGGGGGUAGGGGUAAAAUCCUGUAAUCCUCCGGGGACGACCAGUGGCGAAGGCGCUACGCUAGAACGGCUCUGACAGUGAGGGACGAAGCCCUGGGGCGCAAACCGG